rnacentral:rRNA from 1 species
GACGAACGCUGGCGGCGUGCUUAACACAUGCAAGUCGAACGGAAAGGCCCUGCUUUUGUGGGUGCUCGAGUGGCGAACGGGUGAGUAACCCGUGAGCAACCUGCCCUUGACUUUGGGAUAACUUCAGGAAACUGGGGCUAAUACCGGAUAGGAGCUCCUGCUGCAUGGUGGGGGUUGGAACGUUUCGGCGGUUGGGGAUGGACUCGCGGCUUAUCAGCUUGGUGGUGGGGUAGUGGCUUACCAAGGCUUUGACGGGCAACCGGCCUGAUAGGGUGACCGGCCCCAUUGGCAAUGAGAUACGGCCCCGACUCCUCCCGGUGGAAGGGGUGUUGAAUACUGCACAAGGAUAGGAAUCCUGAUGCAGCAACGCAGGGCGUGGUAGCAAGGCGUGCGGAUUGUAGGCCGGUUACGGCGGUGACGAAUCGUGAGUGACGGUAAUGGGUAGAGAAGCACCGGCUAACUACGUG